CUAGCCAAGCUUCCAAGAAAAGGGGGAUCUCUCUUGCUUCAGAAGUCAAAUUCUCAGUAAUUGGUGUUGUCCUGUGUCUUAUUUCAUUAUCAUGUUUCUUCACCAUUCUUUAUUGGGUAAGAAAGUCGAGAAGCAAACCUUUUGUUGUGCCUUCUGUGGAGGAUCCUUUUGUGAACGUAUCUUAUGCGGAGCUCUUGAAAGCAACAGAUGGGUUCUUUUCUGCCAAUUUAGUUGGCACCGGAAGUUUUGGCGUCGUAUAUAAAGGGAUUCUAGAUUGUGAUGGGACUAUGGUAGCAGUGAAAGUCUUCAACCUUCAACGACAAGGAGCUCUGCGGAGCUUCAUGGCCGAAUGCAAUGCCUAGAGAAAAAUUAGGCAUCUAAAUCUUGUUAAGAUCUUAACUUGUUGCUCGAGCAUUGAUUUUAAGGGCAAUGAUUUUAAAGCUCUAGUUUACGGGUACAUACCCAAUGGAAGUCUAGAGAAGUGGUUGCAUAUGAAGGGCCAUGACCAGCUGAGAAGGAACUUGAAGUUUACUCAAAGGCUAAACAUAGCUAUAGAUGUGGCUUCUGCACUGGAUUAUCUACAUAAUCUUUGUCAAACAUCAAUCAUUCAUCAAGAUUUAAAGCCAAGCAACAUUCUUCUUGAUGAUGACAUGAUUGCUCAUGUGAGUGAUUUUGGGCUAGCCAGGUUCUUAUCUGAGGUUUCUCAAAGCAGCUCAGUUGGUAUGAAGGGAUCUAUCGGGUACAUUGCUCCAGAGUAUGCGAUGGGUGGAAAACCAUCUACACAAGGAGAUGUUUACAGCUAUGGAAUCCUUCUAUUGGAGAUGAUUACUGGGAAGGGGCCAACUGAUGACAUGUUUAAGGACAAUCUAAGCCUUCAUCAUUUUGCUAAGUUGGCCUUGUCUGAAUGAGUAAUGGAGAUUGUUGAUCCACAACUGCUCUUAGAAGAAGUUGAAGUUAUUCAAGGCAAUGAAAAUCAUGCCAACACAAGAAAUGGAAUGCAUGACUGCUUGAUUUCAAUGGUCAAAAUUGGUGUGUUGUGCUCUGCAGAAUCUGCAAGAAAACGAAUGCAUAUGAGAGAUGUUGUUGCUGAAAUGCAUGCAAUCAAGGACUUGUAUCUUGGGGUCGGGAUCCACUGAGACAGACAGGCCAGGUUGCAAAUAUUAGAUGAAGAAAUUAGUUGAGUUGAAGUUUAUGGAGGAGAGUUGGGCUCAAUGGAUCCUAGGUUUUUUGUUGGUUGUUGAGGCUAAGGUGCCCAAGUCCCUGCUGGCCACAAGGAAGCUGCUUGUCGGCUGAAGCUGCCCAGGCCCUGCUGUCAGAUGCUGCUUGCGCUGAAUGUUGACCCAAUGCUGCUGGAAUUUCUGCUGAUUGUUGAGGCUAAGGUGGUGUCUGCGAUGAGCUCCUGACUCUCAUCCAGCUCUGCUUCCUGUGGAUGUCUGUAGCUGCUCCUGCUUGAAUAUCUCCGGGCACCUGCAGUCUGUGUGCUGUGCUGCAUCCUUGGUGCUUCAUU